rnacentral:rRNA from 1 species
CCUACGGGGGGCAGCAGUGAGGAAUUUUGCGCAAUGGCCGCAAGGCUGACGCAGCAACGCCGCGUGGGUGAUGAAGGCCUUCGGGUCGUAAAGCCCUGUCAGGUGGGAAGAAAGGCCUUGAUAAGAAACGGUUGAGGUUUGACGGUACCACCAGAGGAAGCACCGGCUAACUCCGUGCCAGCAGCCGCGGUAAUACGGAGGGUGCAAGCGUUAUUCGGAAUUAGUGGGCGUAAAGGGCGGUCUGGCGGGGAAGCCCUGGGCUUAACCUGGGAAGUGCAUUGGAAACUGCAUUUCUUGAGUACUGGAGAGGAAGGGGGAAUUCCCGGUGUAGAGGUGAAAUUCGUAGAGAUCGGGAGGAAUACCAGUGGCGUAGGCGCCCUUCUGGACGGUAACUGACGCUGAGACGCGAAAGCGUGGGGAGCAAACAGGAUUAGAUACCCCGGUAGUC